rnacentral:rRNA from 1 species
CAGAGCACUCCUACGGGAGGCAGCAGUGGGGAAUCUUAGACAAUGGGGGAAACCCUGAUCUAGCCAUGCCGCGUGAGCGAUGAAGGCCUUAGGGUUGUAAAGCUCUUCAGCUGGGAAGAUAAUGACGGUACCAGCAGAAGAAGCCCCGGCUAACUCCGUGCCAGCAGCCGCGGUAAUACGGAGGGGGCUAGCGUUGUUCGGAAUUACUGGGCGUAAAGCGCACGUAGGCGGAUUGGUAAGUUGGGGGUGAAAUCCCGGGGCUCAACCCCGGAACUGCCUCCAAAACUCCCAGUCUUGAGGUCGAGAGAGGUGAGUGGAAUUCCGAGUGUAGAGGUGAAAUUCGUAGAUAUUCGGAGGAACACCAGUGGCGAAGGCGGCUCACUGGCUCGAUACUGACGCUGAGGUGCGAAAGUGUGGGGAGCAAACAGGAUUAGAUACCCUGGUAG